CCGCGGCGAGGAUCCGCAGACACCGGGCGGGGGUGGGGGGACUUACUCAGAGGCCAGCCCGUUCCAGCCCGGCCCUCCCACGCCCACCCCGGGAUCAAAGGGAACUUGUGGGUGGCCCGGUCCACAGGGGAUGGGCCUCGUGGGUGGCCACCGCAUAAAACCCACAACUCCAUCCCCCCCCUGAAACACACCCACACGGACUAACGCCCCGCCCUCCCUUCACCCACAACCUCACCCAGCGCCCCAAAACGCGCGCACGCCCGGCCCGCCAGCCCCAUCCCUUUCCCCGCCCCGCGGCCUUCCGCCCGCCCUCCUCCGGCCAGCGGCCACCCCCACAGGCAGUCGGCGUCCUCCAGCCUCUUCUCUCCGCCUCACUCCCCUCCCGCCCCGCCGUCGGGCCCGCCGGCUCCCGGCUCGCUCACCGCUUCCUCCAGGUCCAUAACCGCGUCGCCGCCGCCGCCGCCCCCGCCGGGCCCGUUAUCCCGACAGCGAGCGCAGCUUCCGGGAGCGCCGGCAGAAACCCGCCGGGCGGAAACCGAGGCCGCGGCUUCGGGUUCCGGACGCCUGGGGACGCGGGGUCGUCUCCGCUCGCUCCGGGAAGGAAGCUCCGCUACCCCUGCAGCCCCCUCCCAGACUUCAUGCCUUUCCCCAGUCCAGGAAUACUCGCCUUUUUGUUUCACGAGAAAAAAAGAGAAUUCACCUGUAAGUCUGACAGGUCUUCUGAGUCUUCUGCCACGAGAUAGACAACAGGCUUCUGUGCAGAACAAAGGAUGUUUGUGGACAUUUGGAUGGGUUACGGUAAGGAUCUCCUGACAUCUGAAAGGUCCUGAGUUUAUAAAAUCAACUAUGCCCAGGGCAUUCCACAGCCACACGUGCCCCUCUGCCUGUCGCCUCCGCUGCCCUUCACUGCUGGGGAAGGAGGUACCAGCGAAUCUCCCCGACCGUCUGCAGCCUCAUCCCAGAGCUCUUCCGCCAUUUUGUCAAAGUGGUUCUAUCGGUGGUUCCAUGGACAUGGUAUCUCCAAGCUGCUCUCGUAUAAAAGAUGCGACUUACUGUGGAGAAUGUACAUUCUCUGAUGCACCUUCCCACAAAGCCCCUCAGAAGCCAUCUUUCCCAUGUUCCAUGACUGAAAUGGAAUCCAGCCGCUACCGGGAGCAGGGACUUGUUGGAAAUAUCUAUAUUUCUUCCUGCUGGAUUGCAAACCUUCACAUUGCAAACCUGAGACCUGUAACGCUCAUUUUCUUCUAAAUUUUCAGCAGUUUCUGCGUCUUUUAAAAGUAUUUGCAACAGUAUUUGUCAUCCACUCUUUCCACCAUAUCUAUCAUGGCAGAAUGAUAGAAAACAGAUAAAUAUAAACUAUAACUUCAGGGAGUGAUACAUGCUUUAAAGCCAGGAAGAGAAACAGAGACUCAGGAGGUCAAGCCAGGUCAUGCGGCCAGCAAGAGGACGAGGGGGGAGAAUCUUGCUCAGUUCUGUCUGCUCCAAAGAGCCUGCUCACCCUGCUCCCCGGUGGACUAACCAAAGGUGAUGAUCCAACAAGGAAGUAAAAGGAGUAAACCAAGGAAGGAACCCAUAGAAUCAAGGAAGCAAGGACUCUAAAGCUUAAGAGUCCCUGUGAUGAUGGUGAAUGGAAAUUUCCAGAUGGCAUCUGUAUAAUGUCCAGUCUAAAUUGAAGAGCGUGGUAGGAAGGCUCUGAGACAACAGUCUCUAGGAGUAAGAGUAUACGACAUAUUGGAGAUUAUGGAAAACAUUAUUGAUAGAAUUGAGGUAGACUUUAUUAGAACGUUAGGAAGAAUGAAUGAUGUGUAGAAAAUCAGGCAUAUGGAAAGAAGAGGAGGAAACGAGUAAAUCCAGUAAAAGUGAGGGACUGAAUAAGAAAUUUGGUGUGAACAUGGAGUUAAUGUGGUUCUCUAGUAAAUAUCAUUUGUGUAGUCAUGAUCAAGUUUAUAUACUGACUAUGUAACUAAAAUUGUUUUAUAAUUGUGUUGGGGGGAGGGAGGGGGAAGUAGGGAGGUAUAAGAGAUCUCAGUCCUUAUUUAUCAUUGUAGGAACUCAGUAUAGCAUCUUGAAAUGUUAAGUAAUGCAUUAAGAAACAUGGAUAGCUCCAGUCCCAUGGUUUUAAAUAUCAUCUGUAAGACUUCCAAGUUUAAGAUGGUGAGAGGAAGACAUUCCUACUUCUUUCUUUCUCAAAAACUACCUCAAAACAACAAAGAAAAUAAUGAACAGAAACACAGAUUCUAUCCUGGACAUUAGAAAACACUGCAAUUCUGAACCUUUACAUGUGCAGCUAAAUGGCUAGAAGAAUGACAAAUGACAAAAAACAAGUGAACAAAGAUGAACCCAAUCCCACUAGAAGUAUAAUUUAUUUUAAUAAAAUUCACCGAUUUUAAGUGUACAUGAUGAGUUUUGGCGUGUGUGUGUGUGUGUGUACAUAUACAUAUACACAUAUGCAACCACUACCAAAAAAUUUUAUUUAGAACAUUGCAGUCAGUUCCCAUCUUCAAGCCCCAAACCCCUAGCAAACACUGAUCUGCUAUCAUCACCAUAGACUUGCCUUUUAAAAAAAAAAAAGAUUUUAUUUAUUUAUCUGAGAUAGAGAGAGAGCAAGAAUGUGAGUGGGGGGGCAGGAGGAGGCAGAGGGAGAGGGAGAAGCAGACUCCCCACUGAGCAGGAGCCUGAGGACAUGGGGUUCGAUCCCAGGACUCCUGGGAUCAUGACCUGAGCUAAAGGCUCAGCCACCCAGGCACCCCUGGACUUGCCUUUUCUAGAACUUUUCUAGAACUUAGUAUAAAUACAUACGGUGUGUGUAGGGGGGGGCCUGGGUGGCUUAGCUGGUUAAG